rnacentral:tRNA from 4 species
UGCGUAAUGGAGCAGUUGGUAGCUCACAUGGUUCAUACCCAUGAGGUCACAAGUUCGAGUCUUGUUUACGCCA